rnacentral:rRNA from 1 species
GCGCAGGCGGUUUCUUAAGUCUGAUGUGAAAGCCCCCGGCUCAACCGGGGAGGGUCAUUGGAAACUGGGAGACUUGAGUGCAGAAGAGGAGAGUGGAAUUCCAUGUGUAGCGGUGAAAUGCGUAGAUAUAUGGAGGAACACCAGUGGCGAAGGCGGCUCUCUGGUCUGUAACUGACGCUGAGGCUCGAAAGCGUGGGGAGCGAACAGGAUUAGAUACCCUGGUAGUCCACGCCGUAAACGAUGAGUGCUAAGUGUUGGAGGGUUUCCGCCCUUCAGUGCUGCAGCAAACGCAUUAAGCACUCCGCCUGGGGAGUACGACCGCAAGGUUGAAACUCAAAGGAAUUGACGGGGGCCCGCACAAGCGGUGGAGCAUGUGGUUUAAUUCGAAGCAACGCGAAGAACCUUACCAGGUCUUGACAUCCUUUGACCACUCUAGAGAUAGAGCUUCCCCUUCGGGGGCAAAGUGACAGGUGGUGCAUGGUUGUCGUCAGCUCGUGUCGUGAGAUGUUGGGUUAAGUCCCGCAACGAGCGCAACCCUUAUUGUUAGUUGCCAUCAUUUAGUUGGGCACUCUAGCGAGACUGCCGGUGACAAACCGGAGGAAGGUGGGGAUGACGUCAAAUCAUCAUGCCCCUUAUGACCUGGGCUACACACGUGCUACAAUGGGAAGUACAACGAGUUGCGAAGUCGCGAGGCUAAGCUAAUCUCUUAAAGCUUCUCUCAGUUCGGAUUGUAGGCUGCAACUCGCCUACAUGAAGCCGGAAUCGCUAGUAAUCGCGGAUCAGCACGCCGCGGUGAAUACGUUCCCGGGCCUUGUACACACCGCCCGUCACACCACGAGAGUUUGUAACACCCGAAGUCGGUGAGGUAACCUUUUUGGAGCCAGCCGCCUAAGGUGGGAUAGAUGAUUGGGGUGAAGUCGUAACAAGGUAGCCGUAUCGGAAGGUGCGGCUGGAUCACCUCCUUUCUAAGGAA